UUUCUAUCAGCAGGGGGAGCAGAGCUUAACAUUAAGACGAAGGUAUGUUCCUUUUUUAUGAUUAUAAUCCUGCUGAAUUGAUAUGAAGCAGAAAUGUGUGCAGAGAUAUGUCACCAAACAAAGGAUCUCAGUUCCUCUAUUUAAACGGGGAGUCAUCUAUAAGAAAUCAUUCUGCAGGAUUUUUGACAACAUAUAUGAUGUUAUUACUUCUCAUAGAAUUUCUACACAAAAGGUGCUUGGUUAAUUAAAUUUUGUAUAUGGUAGGAUUGUAACAGUUUCAGAAUCCACUGAUUUGGACAUUUUUAAAAAAUUCAGGUUUUUGUUUGAAUUCCAGUUAACAUGCAUGGCAAAGUUGGUUUCAGGUGUAGAAUUUAGUGAUUCACCACUUUCAUCAACACCCAGGGCUCUGCCCAAGUGCCCUCCUUAACGCCCAUCAGCCAUGGAGCCCAUCCCCCACCCACCUCCCUCCAUCAACCCUCAGUUUGUUCUCUAUAGUUAAGUCUCUUAUGGUUUGCUUUCCUCUCUCUCUCUUUUCCCCUUCUUCUAUGUUCAUCUGGCUUUUUUUUUUUUUUUUAAUUCCACAUAGGAGUGAAAUCAUAUGCUAUUGGUCUUUCUCCGAUUGAUUUAUUUUGCCUUGCAGAAUACGCUCUAGCUCCAUCCAUGAUUUGGAGUUUUUUUUUAUAUUUUAGUUUUUUUAAUGUUUUUUUAUUUUUGAGACAGAGACAGAGCAUGAGCAGGGGAGGGGCAGAGAGAGAGGGAGACACAGAAUCCGAAGCAGGCUCCACGCUCUGAGCUGUUAGCACAGAGCCCGAUGCAGGGCUCAAACUCACAAACCAUGAGAUCAUGACCUGAGCCAAAGUUGGACGCUUAACCGACUGAGCCACCCAGGCGCCCCUGGAGUUUUUUGAUAUUUGAAUCACAGCAUACAUGAGUGUUAUUGGGUUUUAAAAGUGCCACUGAGUCGGGCUCUGGGCUGAUGGCUCAGAGCCUGGAGCCUGUUUCCGAUUCUGUGUCUCCCUCUCUCUCUGCCCCUCCCCCGUUCAUGCUCUGUCUCUCUCUGUCCCAAAAAUAAAUAAACGUUGAAAAAAAAUUAAAAAAAAAAAAAAAAGUGCCACUGAUCCACUCCUUAGUGUUCACUGAGAUUUACUUGCCCAGAUUCAACAAACCACUCUCUGAGCUAGAAAAGAAAUCCUAUUCUUACAUAUCCCACAUCUUCACUGAGGGGGAAAGCCUGAUUCAUAUGAAAACACAAGGCCAGGAGAGCUCAAUAUUGAGUUGCUGUUGAGACAAUUUCAGAAAAGAAAAACAACAAGUUGUGAGCUAGAAAGCUGUAUCUCAGCAGUGGUUCUUAUAUGCUAAAAACAGUAAGAAGAGGAAGAGCAGUAAGAGAAGAAAAAAAAGCAAAAAACGGAUGCUCUGUUCCAUAAAGUCAUCUUCCAUGAAAACAGGAAAUAGAAGAAAAUCCAGGCAAAAGCUGAUACAAGAGGGAGGUAAUAGAAUUGGCGAAAGUGGAAGGGAAGCUGGGAAUGGAAGACACAUUUCUAACGCCUACUUUUUCUUUAUGUCUUAAAGCAAACAUUUACGGAGCACCUGUUAUGUGUCAGGCACUGUACUGGGUGCUGGGGACAGAGGCGAAUAAGACUGACGUGGUGGUGGCCCCCCUGGGAUUUCAGUGAUGGGGAGGGGCAAUGGCAAGUAAGCGAAUAUAGCCCUUGUUAAUUACUGCGAACGAAACAAAAAUAGGAAUAAGGAGUUGGGGGAAGAACAUACCUCAUGUAGAGUGGUCAGCCAAGGUCUUAACUGAAGAAGGCACUUUUACACUGAGAUCGAAAGAAGGGCAGUAGCCACUAGAAAUUCUGUUUCCGGCGUAGGGAACAGCGUUGCAAAAACACCAGUCAGAAUGAGUUUCCGGAUUAGGAACUGUGAGAAGGCAGCCAUGGCUCCAGCAAGCUAGGCCUGNGGGGGGUUGGGAGGGGGUGCGUGGGCGCUGAGAUGAGGCUGAAAACCUUGGGGCGAGGAACUAGGAUUGUGUUCUAAGAGCAGCCGGAAGCCAGUAGAGAAUUUUAAGAAGCGGAGUCACUGAGUCUGGUUUGUUUUUGAAACAUCACCCUGGCUCUGCCUCACACCAUAUACAAUAAUAAACUCAAAAUGGGUCAUGGACCUAAAUGUAAGAGCUAAAAUUAUAAAACAUUUAGAAGAAAACCUGAGAGUAAAUCUUUCUGACAUUGGAUUAGGCAAUGGUUUCUUAGCUAUGACACCCAAGCAUAAGGAAGCAAAGUAAACAGAUAAAUUGGAGUUCUCAGAUAUAAAAACAUCGAUUUCAGAGCACACCAUCAUGAAAGUGAAAAUGCAGCUCACAGAAUGGAAGAUCAUGUUUGCAGAUCGUGUAAGUUAAAAAAAAAAAAACUCUUUGGGGCGCCUGGGUGGCGCAGUCGGUUAAGCGUCCGACUUCAGCCAGGUCACGAUCUCGCGGUCCGUGAGUUCGAGCCCCGCGUCAGGCUCUGGGCUGAUGGCUCGGAGCCUGGAGCCUGUUUCGGAUUCUGUGUCUCCCUCUCUCUCUGCCCCUCCCCCGUUCAUGCUCUGUCUCUCUCUGUCCCAAAAAUAAAUAAACAUUGAAAAAAAAAUUAAAAAAAAAAAAAAAAAAAACUCUUACAACUCAAUAUUGAAAGGACCAAAAAUCCAAUAAUAAAAAAAAAAAAAAACGGCAAAAGACAUUUCUCUGAAGAAGAUAUACAGGUGGCCAAUAAGCACAUGAAAAGAUGCUCUACAUCACUAAGCACGAGGGAAAUGCAAAUCAAAAUCACAGUGACAUAUCACUUCACACCCAGGAGGAUGGCUAUUUUAAAAACAAAACUAAAAACAAGAACAAGAACGGCAAUAACAAAAGAGAAAGGAGAAUAGUUGUUGCCAGGGACUGAAAGGAGAAAGUAAUGGGGUAGAGUUUCAGUUCGGGAAAAUGAAAAAGUUCUAGGGAUGGGUCACAACGAUGGUUGCACAACAGCGUGAAUUGUACUUAAUUCUGCCAGAACUGUAAGAGUUAAAAUAGUAACUUUGAUGUAUGUUAUGCAUAUUUUACCACAAUAAAGAAAAGUUAAAAGGGGAAGGGCAAAGGAUUUGAAUACACAUUUUUCCAGAGAAGAUAUGCACAUGGCCCAUAGAUACGUGAAAAGACGCUCAACAUCACUGGUCCGUAGGGAAAUGCAAAUCAAAACCACAGUGAGGUACCAGUUUUACACCCACCAGGGCUGACGACAUUCAAAAAAGCAGACAGUGACAAAUGUUGACAAAAAUGUGGAGAAAUUGGCACCCCCGAAUGUCGCUAGUCGGAUUAUAAAAUGCUGCAACCGCUUUGGAAAACAGUUUGGCAGCCUCUCAAAAAAUGUUAAACAGAGUUACCAUGUGACUGAGUGAUUCCAGCCCUAGGUACACACCCAAGAAAAUUAGAAACACAAGUAAACACAAAAAUGUACACAAAUGUUCCCAGGAGCACUUUGCAUGAUAGCCAAAGAGUAGAAACAACUCAAAUAUCCAUCCGCUGAUGAAUGGAUAAGCAAAAAUGUGAUAGAUCCAUUCAGUAUAAUGGUAUUCUGCCACGAGAAGGAAUAAAACACUGAUGCAUGCUACAACACGGAUGAACCUUGAAAAUAUGCUAAGAGGCCAGAAACAAAAGAUUGUAUAUUGUUGGAUCCCAUUUAUACCAAAGGUCCGGAAUAGGCAAAUCCAUAGAGACAAAAAGUAGAUUAGUGGUUGUCAGGGAAUAGAGAGAGACUGCUGAUGGAGACAGAGUUUCUUUUCAGGAUGAUUAAAAUGCUCUCAACCUGGAUGGCGGUGAUGGUUGCACAAAGUUUUGAAUAUACUGAAACCCACUGAAUUGUACACUUUAGAUGGGUGAAUUUUAUGGUAUGUGACUUAUAUCUCAAUAAAGUUGCUAUAACAAACAAACAAACAACAUCGACCAAAAAGAUCAACCUGGCUGCUUGAUGGAGAAAACAGGAAGGGUCCUUCAAGAAGUGAUGUGGAACCAGGUGACCACUUAAAAAGCUACUAGAGACGUCAAGGCAAGAGGUGACAGUGAAUCACCUGGGUGGGGAGUAAAGGAAAGGAGGAAGCACGGGUUUUGGUUUGGGUGAAUGGGUCGUAGGGUGGGGCCAUUUACCACCCAUCCGAGAGAGAUUUGUGUUUGGGUCCGAAAAGGAAAACCUGCACUAAAUCAUAAUCCCAGUCCUAUGAAGUAGGUACAGUUAUCCCCAUUUAUAAUUGAAUAAAUGAGGCUCAAUGAAGUUCAAAUAAAUACCUUAAUAAUCAUUAGCGCUGUGACUCACAUCAGCCUGACUCUGACACCCAUGCUCUUUGUUUGUUUUUUGUUUUUCCAUGGCAGUAUUUAUUUAUUUAUUUAUUACUGUCAAGUUAGCUAACAUACAGUGUAGUCUUGGCUUCAGGAGUAGAUCCCCAUGAUUCAUCACUUACAUACAACACCCAGUGCUCAUCCCAACAUGCGCCCUCCUCAAUGCCCAUCACCCAUUUUUCCCACCCCCCCAACCCCCACCCCCAUCAACCCUCUGUUUGUUCUGAGACUCAGUUUGAGUCUCUAAUGGUUUGCCUCCCUCUCUGUUUGUGUCUCAUUUUUCCUUCCCUUCCCCUAUGUUCAUAUGUUAGGUUUCUCUAGUUCACUUAGCAUAAUACCCUCCAGUUCCAUCCAGGUUGUUGCAAAUGGCAAGAUUUCACUCUUUUUCAUCACUGAGAAGUAUUCCAUUGUGUGUAUAUAUACCACAUCUUUAUCCAUUCAUCAGUUGUUGGACAUUUGGGCUCUUUCCAUAAUUUGGCCAUUAUUGAUAGCACUGCUAUAAACAUUGGGGUGCAUGUACCCCUUUGAAUCAGCUCUCCUGUAUCCUUGGGAUAAAUUCCUAGUAGUACAAUUGCUGGGUUGUAGGGUAAUUCUAUUUUUAAUUUUUUGAGGAACCUCCACGCUGUUUUCCAGAGUGGCUGCAGCAGUUUGCAUUUCCACCAACAGUGCAAGAGGGUUCCCCUUUCUCUCCAUCCCCACCAACAUCUGUUGUUUCCUGAGUUGUUAAUUUUAGCCACUCUGAUGUGAAGUCAUAUCUCAAUGUGGUUUUGAUUUGUAUUUCCCUGAUGAUGAGCGAUGUUGAGCAUCUUUUCAUGUGUCGGUUGGCCAUCUGGAUGUCUUCUUUGGAAAAAUGUCUUUUCGUGUCUUCUGCCCAUUUCUUCACUGGUUUAUUUGUUUUUCAGACACCCAUGAUCUUUGUUGCACAUUAUAUGAGGAGAGAUUUUUAAAAGAUAAAAAAAAAGGGAGAGAAAGAAAUUGGGGAGGCACUGCUAGAAGGAGGUGAAGAGAGAUGGGUCAGGCACCCUGUAUGGAGCAUUUUGCCACCUGGUUUUGACAAAAAUAUUUCUAUUUAUACUAAUAUUUAUAGAAAAUAUUAGUAUAUGCUGUCACUAAUAACCAGAGAACCUCAAAAUGUCACCCUCAGCUCCCAGUCAGUAGUCGGAGGCUGUUAAUUUUUCUCAAAUUUGCUGACAGCCGUCGCCAGGGACAGUGCUGCAGCUUCCUUGGGCCAGUGCCCCCUCACCUCUUGCAGGAGGUAUUGCAACACCCUCCCAACCUUUGUCCUGUGGUCCCCCUGCCCCAGAAAUGGGUGCUGGAGUGUGUGCAGACACACGCACACACCCCUCCCUCCUCAUCCCUUCUCCAUUGCUGGGGUGCUCUUUCUAAAAUGCAAACCUGUCCAUUUCAUCACAUGCCUUAAAACCCUUCAGGGAAUCCUGGUGGUGCUCAGGAUCAAGUUCAAGCACCUCAACCCAACGUACAAGGCCCUUCACUAUCUUGACUCCAUGUACCUCUUCAGCCUUUCCUCACUCUCCCCCCUUACCCACGCCUGGCAUCACACACCCUUACCCCAUGGGCCAGCCACACUGAACUAUUUUCAGUCCCCUAAUGUACCACGCUCUUGCUGACCUCAAGCCUUAGCACGUGUCAUUCUGGCUGGAAUAGCCAUCUGUGACAGUUGCAUAGCUAACUCCUACACAUCCUUUGGUCUUCCGUUGCCCUCCACGUCAGGGCUAGGUGCCCUUUGGACAUUUCUCGUGGCCCUCUGCACAGCCCCCGUGGGCACAGUGGAAUUAAGGGGUGGCCAGCUGAGCCCUGGGAGAAGCAGUCUGCAAGAGAGAAUAAAGAUCAUAGGAAAUGUAACGGAACCAGAAAAAUCCUCUCUCCCAGAACCUUCUCAGAAGGACUUAUCAGAAUAUUCUUUCCAACCACACAGUGUUAUUAGGCCCACCCUGUACAAAUGAAAUGAAAGGCAGAUCGAUAAAUAGAUAGAUAGAUAGCCGGAUAGAAGGAUAGAUAGACAAACAUUUCACAUUUAUUCAUCUUUGGUCAACAUCUUGUUGUUUCGGUCUAGCGGAGCCCUCAGAUACAGGACCCGGGUUGGACUUCCAGGUCUUCUAUUGCCAGCUGAAGGACCUACCCCAUAGGUGUGUUGGGAGGACGAUCAGAAGAAAUCAAAGGAGGGAAAUUAUCUGGCAUAUUACCCCUCCCAGUUGGUGCUCAGUAAACACUAGUGAUAUUUAUUGGCUCACUGGUUCAUCAGUAUUCUUUAAAACCUGAGUCCUAUUCCCAGAGUAUGAGGCUGUGCCUCAGCGUCAUGCCAGCCGCACGCGUGACAGUGUAUCUUCUGGUUUUCGAUAAUCACUCCCUCCCAGCUUCCUUCCUCAUCCACACCUGCACCCCCCUCAAUUUUAAGCUUUGCUUGGCCCAGGCGUCAGGCUCUCAGGAUGACAAACCCACAUCGCCACCUGGAGGACAGCAUGAGAAUCUGGGGAAGAAUACCAUUUCAUGGCGCCAGAUAAACUAACUCCGCUGUUCCGUGCUGGUGCUAACGAGGCCAAGUUCACAGGUUCAUCCCCAAAGGGGCCAAUUAGCUUUACACGAAGAGACACUUUAGAGCACAGCCCCAGUCUCUAACCCUGGCCCCUGGUUCACACGCGUGUUGGUUAGAAAGUGGAUUCAUCAGGCCAAUCCCAUUUUCCAUAAUUUCUUUAAAAAAAAAAAAAUCCAUCUGUAAGGCCGUGUGGAGACAAGACAAACAAGAUCUGCUCUCUACUUUUAAGGAAUCUUCACCUGCAGGAGUGUUUCCCCAAAUGAUUCCCGAGAUAUCAGCGGGAGUUAUGAGAAUAGAGGCUCCACUGUGCUAAAUCAGUUUUGGAAACACUGAUCUAAUCCAAGUCAGGAGGUUCUCUCAUGGAAGGGUUUCCUAGAGCCUUUAACAUGCUAAUAGGCACUGUUAAUUUUCCAAUAAGGAAAUGUGUGUGCAGUGUUUCCCAGAUUUGGAUGGCCAUAAGACUUACCCCCAGCCCCCCAGUCUGUAAAAAAGAAAAGAAAAGAAAAAGAAUAGUAAUGAGUCUGCUGGCCCUGGGUAUGGCUGCUUCCACUGGAACAUCUAUUUUAGGAAGCAACUCAUCCACGGGGAAAAGUUCACAGUCUAUUGCUAGGUUUAAAAAAAAAGCAGACUAAAGAACAGUAUCCCAUUUUGAAAAGACAGAACAAAGAUGUCCAUACACUUGAGAGGAAAAAAACUGAAAAGACAUAAACCAAAAUGUUAACCCCCGUGAUCUUUAUGCUGGAGUGCCCAUUGUUUUUCUGUGUUCUUUACAUGUUUUUCAAGUUUUUUUUUGUAUUGAAUAUGCAUGUGUAUUUUAUUUUUUUAAGUUUAUUUAUUUUUGAGAGAGAGAGAGAGACAGCGAGCACGUGAGGGAAGGGCAGAGAGAGGGAGAGGAAGAGAGAGAAUCCCAAGCAGGCUCUGUUGCUGACAGUGGGGCUUGAAUCCACAAACCAUGAGAUCAUGACCUGAGCAGAAAUCAAGAGUCGGACGCUUAACUGACUGAGCCACCCAGGCACCCCACUUAUAAAUUUUAAAAGAAAAACAACAAAGCACAUGUUCUAGGAUAGUAUACCAUCUUUGUAAGACUAUUAUUAUAGAAUCCUAGCAAGAGCUAACAUUUUCUAAAGGCUAAGUGCCUGGCAUAUGAAUUAUCUAGAUUAUCUUGUUUAAACUUCACAUGAAUCGUAUGAGAUGAGGUGCUAUUUUUUGUCCCAAUUUAAAAAUGGAAAAUUAAGGAAGGAAACAAACCCUGUGGAACCAGAAUUUGAACCCAUUACUUUCCUCUUUGCUGUCUAUCCUGCUCCCCCAAGACACACACACACACACACACACACACACACACACACACACCAUGAAAAAGAGAAAUGAUGCUUUUCCUCCCGGGAGAGGGACUCUUUGAAGGCAAUGAUGCUGUGUGCUGUCGCUGUGCCACACGGCUACUAGCUGCCAUUUAUUAAAUGCUCACUGGUGCCAAGAAUUAUUCUGAGUCCUUUGAUAUAUAUAAACAUGUAAACUGAAUAGCAGCUGGGCUCUCCAGACUUUUAAGAUCUGCCUUCUGCAGCAUUGCUUGGGCCACCUCUCUCUUCUUUCUCUUUCACUGGCCACUAGAAGCCCUGACAACUACUAGGUGAGGCCAUUCAGCCCUCUCCAGACACUAGAGCCACGUUCGGCUCCAAUUCAACUGCAGUUAACAUGCUCCUUUAAACAGGCUUUCAACCCAGCUACAUGCUAGUACUCUUUCUCUCUCUCUGUCUCUGUCUCUCUUCUCUCUCUCUUUUCCCUCUCUGGGAAGAGGCCCAAAGGACAAUUCUAUUUCCUCACUGGUAUGAAGUAUGCCUACCUUCCUUAAAAGGCAGAAGUGUCUAUCAUCAAUUGGGGGUUAAAAUACUCUCUUUUUUUUUGUCCAUCACAGGUGCAUUUGCAAAGUCGUUUCUUUCAUUAAUUCCAUUUUACAGAUGAGGAAAUUGAGGGCAGGUAAUUUGCCCAAGGUACCAGUGCAAGUACACGCUGGACCACUAUUUGAACCAGGGCCGUCCAAGUCCCCGUGUCACCAAGAUUCAAAGGAAAACUGGCCCACUUUGAGCUGCCAGACACAGAAACUUCCCUGAAGAUAUGGCUCUUGCUCUAUGGAAAAUAUGUCAGGCUGACUCAGUUUCUCUAGCACAAGUGAAAACGAGCUGGUUAGAACAGACCGGUUUAAAGCAAGUGCACAAUUCUUCACCUUCAGGUAAGAAAUCUGGUCCUGCAAACCAGUUUUAUGUGAUUUAACUGCUUACCUCAAGGACAACAGUAGCCCUCUGAUAGAAAACCCCUCCUUUUUCUCUGUUCCCCAUCCCCACUCCUGUUGCCUUCUUCUCAAUCAGGCCAUCAUCCACAUUGGAAAAUCACUCUGUUUUUUUUUUAAUUAUGGGAGAUCUUUUCCUCUGUGAGACUUGGCUCUGGACAGAGAUGAUUACUAGAUCCUUUCCCUCACUGGGUGGCAUCUUUUAGCCCAGCCUGAGGUCCCAGGCUCCUGCAAAGUUGAGUAAACCAGUUCUUUUGUCUUUGCGUUGACUUCCAGGUGAGCUAGCAGCUGAAUUUCCCCGCCAGCUGGGCCUUAAAGGGCAAACAACGCUCAGGGCAGAAGGCAUCAUGAAGCGAUCUUGGACAACGUGCGUUCUUCAUUACAUCUGCAAAAUGCCACUAGCACCUUUGACCAAACAUUAAUACCGCACGGCUUUGACAUCUUGUGAUAUAGCUGGAGUUUGAGGAAUGGGGCUAAGGGUUGAUUGGGGUCCCCCAAAAUAAAUCUUUUCUACUGCCAUGAAGCAGUUACAGUUGCACAACUGAAAUACCAGCCCUUUGGAAAAGCUAUCAAACCCACUCAUGCAGUUGGGUAAUAUCAUCAUCCAGAGUACUUCCUAGAUGCCUGGUGUUCGAAGCACUGUGCACAGCAAGUUGAGCAGACACAAUCUAUUAUGUGAGACAUUUCUGAGGCAGGAUAUAUGUUUCUGAUGCUGGAAGUGAAACUGGUUCAGACAGAUGUCAAAGUACCCCUCAUAGGAUAGUGCAUAUAUGUAUAUAUGUAUAUACGUAUAUAUGUGUGUAUAUAUGUAUAUAUGCACUAAUAUUUAUUGGGUCCCCUUCCAUUUUCCAGGUCUGUGCUAUACAUCUCACAUCAUCUUCAGAGCAACCUUUGAAGGAGGGGCUGUUGUUACCCCUGUUUUACAGAUGAGGAAACACAGGCUCUUAGAUAUUAAGUAACCAGCCAAGAAGAUACAGCUAGUAAAUGAUGGAGCAGAAUUCAAAUCCAAGCCCCCCUGACACCAUGGUUCACACCCGUAAUCACUGCACCCUACUUGUACAACUCAUGUGGAGUGGCUCCAGCAUGAAUUUGGAGUUUGGGAGCUGGAUAGCCCCAGAGUCACAUUCUCGCUUUAUUACUCAGUUGGACCGUGUAACCAACCUUUCUAAACGUUGGUCUCUUCAUCUGCAAAAGGUAGGAACCUUAAUGCUUAGCUUUCAGGGUUGUGAGUAAAGAAGUACUUUUGUAACCAUAUUGCAUCCAAAGACCUGGUUCAGUCUCAGAACCGGAAUCCCUUUGCACAGCAGGAACACAAAGCUUUUACAACAAUAACUGCUGUUGUGUUUUGUUUCACUUACAAAGCCUCUAGCCCAUGGUACACAUGCAAUAAGUAUGUAGCUAUUCGAAUUCUUGUUUUUAAAUAUACUUUCAAGUUACAUCUUUAAAUAACUAACUCAAUUUAUCUGAUUGAAAUGUUACUUAAAUCAAGCUCCUUCUCUACCCCAUCCUCCACGUUUUAAAAGACUCUCAGUCGUUUCUCCUCAUUUGUACUGAAACAGAGUGAGAUGUAUAGCAGAAGCACGAUCUCAGCCUCAAGCUACGUCCCUCAAAAUUUUAGAUUGACUUGUACAUAUUUAGAAAUCUGAAUAAAUAAACCCCCAGGACGAAGAUGCUCCUGGAAAAGAAGUCAAGAGGUGAGGCCCACCUACUGGCCUGGUUUGAGUACAAGGACAACCUCAGGGUUGGAGAGGAAAUGGAUCUGUGCCACACAGAUUUUCCACUGACCCAGCUCGUGGGAAUUUCUGUCCGAUUUGACACAGCAGUCCCUACUUCUUCCUUCUUCCAAGAUUUUCCUGUAUAAGACUCUUGUCUUGCUAUAAUUUAACCUUCACACAGCAGCCGGAAGGGUCUUUCUAAAAUGUAAAUCAGAUCCUGCCAACUGCCCUGCCCUAUUUAAAACUUCCAACAGCUACCCACUGCAUGGUUAAAAUCCAAACCCUUUAUCAUGGCUUACAAGAUCCUUACAAGAGUUGCCCCUGACUACCUCUUUAAACUCAUUUCUUUCCACCUGUCACUUCAUUCGUGACACUCCAGCUACAAUGGCCUUCUUCUGUCAUUCCUGCCUCAGGGCAUUUGCCCUUGGUGUUCCUUCUUCCUAGAACACCACCUUAGCUAAAACAGCCUUCCCAGAAACUCUUAUUACACUAUCCUAGGCCAUCUGUCUUCAUAGUACUUACCAGCACGGGAAAUUAGCUUAUUGGAAUAUAAGCUCUGGUAUCGGGAAUGGUAGCUGGUAAAUAGUAGGUUCUCACUGUUCUCUGCACCCAUCCUCCUCCCUCCCCCGCCAGUUUCCAAUCCCUGCUCUAUACCCUGGAUUUCAGCACAGCUCUGCCCAUCUUGGCUUGGUAACCCAUUUGGAUUUCAUUGUCUGUUUUUCUGACCUCAGCCCAGUUGACUCUUUUGACUCCAUUUGACUCCUGGUCCUUCAGAUUCCUUGGAUUUCAGAAUCAUUCAGAAUGUUGCUUGAGAAACACUUCUGCCAUCCUAGCCUGGCCCCAAGCCCAUUUCUCAGUGAAAGAGCUCCGUCUGCUAGCUCAUGUGGGAGCAGCCAUCUACACUGGCUCUCAGGACUAUAGAAGUCUUCACCUGAAGAGGCCCACUUUGACCACUGGACCUUGAAGCAGUUAAAGUAAAAACAGAAACGCACGCUAUUCCAAAGGAGGCAAGAUCCCUUCUCAGUGACUUUCUUCGUAUCAGGCAUCCCAAACCACUGGGCUAUCCAGAAAAUAGGACUGUCAGGAUGUGACUGAAGCUUGUCUGACCAGACCAAUUGUCUGGCCCUGGAACAAUGCUUCCAUCUCAUUCUGGGGGUGGCCAUCAUGAGACAGUCUAUCACACAUGGUAUCACACAAUGAUUCCCUGCUACACGCAGAAAGCCACAACCGAAUUCCAUGAUCUAAACUCCAUGAUCCAUACUAGGUGUCAGAUAUUUUAUGGUCAUGCUUCCACUUAAUUUUCACAAUAAAAUUAAGGUAGAUGAUUAUCCCCAUUUAACAGAUAAGAAAAUCAAGGCUCGGAGACAGGUAAAGUCAUUUGCUCAAGGUCAUGUAACAAAUGAGUGGGAGAACCUGAAUUUCUGAUUCCAAAGUUCAUGCUCACAAUCCCAACCCUCUAAGUAUUCAAUCAUGGAUCUCUUCUCACACACACGCACACACACACACACACACACACAAUUAUAUACUCCUCAAGAGCUGGAAUUUAUUUCCUGUUCAUCAUUCACAUAACACAGGGACUGACCCUUAGCGAAUGGUCAGCAUAUUUUGCAAAUGCGAUCCUGAUACUAUUGCAUUAGUGUUAUAAUUUAUAUAUACUAUAAUUAAUAGAUUCAUAUAAACAUGCAUGGCCAUAACACUCCACUGUUGGCUUUCCUAUUCCCUGCCACUGGUCAUUUGGACUACUUCUAAUUUUCAGUUUUACUGUCCAAUACAGUAACUUGCUUUUACUAGAACAUGGCGUGGGAGGGAGUGAGGAGUAGAAGAUGAACGUAAUAAAGGAAAAAUAACCCUGCAUCUUUCAUGGGACCAUUCAGAGGGAAUCCAAUUAAGUAACAGACUAAUUACACAAAAUAGAGAAAUAAUUCUGGGAUUAUGAUAAUAAAAUUGCCAGGCUUUUCUAGUAAUCUUCAAUACCACAAGUUUCAUUAGAAAAGCAGAUGUGUUUAUUAUAUUGUAAAAUACCCAAUACUAUCCUCUCGUUAGGCAAGAUUCAAAAUGUUUUCAAAACUGAAUACUGGUGUACAAAACAGAAGCGUCAAAAUUCUAUAAGGGAAAAAAUAUGUGGCUAUCUUUUAGCACACUGAAUUUGGUUAGUCAUGUGCCAGAAGUAUUAAAAUAUAUAUACAGC
rnacentral:lncRNA from 1 species